AUACGUAGGGUGCGAGCGUUGUCCGGAAUUACUGGGCGUAAAGAGCUCGUAGGUGGUUUGUCGCGUCGUCUGUGAAAUUCCGGGGCUUAACUCCGGGCGCGCAGGCGAUACGGGCAUAACUUGAGUACUGUAGGGGAGACUGGAAUUCCUGGUGUAGCGGUGAAAUGCGCAGAUAUCAGGAGGAACACCGGUGGCGAAGGCGGGUCUCUGGGCAGUAACUGACGCUGAGGAGCGAAAGCAUGGGUAGCGAACAGGAUUAGAUACCCUGGUAGUCCAUGCCGUAAACAGUGGGCGCUAGGUGUAGGGGUCUUCCACGACUUCUGUGCCGUAGCUAACGCAUUAAGCGCCCCGCCUGGGGAGUACGGCCGCAAGGCUAAAACUUAAAGGAAUUGACGGGG
rnacentral:rRNA from 1 species